CAGAGGGUGCAAGCGUUAAUCGGAAUUACUGGGCGUAAAGCGCGCGUAGGUGGUUGUGUAAGUUGGAUGUGAAAGCCCCGGGCUUAACCUGGGAACUGCAUUCAAAACUGCACGGCUAGAGUACGGGAGAGGGGGGUAGAAUUCCAGGUGUAGCGGUGAAAUGCGUAGAGAUCUGGAGGAAUACCGAUGGCGAAGGCAGCCCCCUGGCCUGAUACUGACACUGAGGUGCGAAAGCAUGGGGAGCAAACAGGAUUAGAUACCCUGGUAGUCCAUGCCGUAAACGAUGUCAACUAGGUGUUGGGGAACUUGAUUCCUUAGUGCCGCAGCUAACGCAUUAAGUUGACCGCCUGGGGAGUACGGCCGCAAGGUUA
rnacentral:rRNA from 1 species